GAUGAAGAACGCAGCGAAAUGCGAUAAGUAGUGUGAAUUGCAGAAUUCAGUGAAUCAUCGAAUCUUUGAACGCACAUUGCGCCCCAUGGUAUUCCGUGGGGCAUGCCUGUUCGAGCGUCAUUUACCCCCUCAAGCUCCGCUUGGUGUUGGGCGUCUGUCCCGCUUCGCGCGCGGACUCGCCCCAAAGGUAUUGGCAGCGGUCGUGCCAGCUUCUCGCGCAGCACAUUGCGCUUCUCGAGGCACCGGUGGGCCCGCGUCCAUCAAGCUCACCCCCCCAGUUUGACCUCGGAUCAGGUAGGGAUACCUGCUGAACUUAAGCAUAUCAAUAAGCGGAGGA
rnacentral:misc_RNA from 1 species